rnacentral:rRNA from 1 species
CCUACGGGGGGCUGCAGUGGGGAAUAUUGGGCAAUGGGCGCAAGCCUGACCCAGCAACGCCGCGUGAAGGAAGAAGGCUUUCGGGUUGUAAACUUCUUUUCUCAGGGACGAAGCAAGUGACGGUACCGGAGGAAUAAGCCACGACUAACUACGUGCCAGCAGCCGCGGUAAUACGUAGGUGGCAAGCGUUAUCCGGAUUUACUGGGUGUAAAGGGCGUGUAGGCGGGGACGCAAGUCAGAUGUGAAAACCACGGGCUCAACCUGUGGCCUGCAUUUGAAACUGUGUUUCUUGAGUACUGGAGAGGCAGCCGGAAUUCCUAGUGUAGCGGUGAAAUGCGUAGAUAUUAGGAGGAACACCAGUGGCGAAGGCGGUCUGCUGGACAGCAACUGACGCUGAGGCGCGAAAGCGUGGGGAGCAAACAGGAUUAGAUACCCGUGUAGUC